rnacentral:rRNA from 1 species
AACGAACGCUGGCGGCAGGCUUAACACAUGCAAGUCGAGCGCGUAGCAAUACGAGCGGCAGACGGGUGAGUAACGCGUGGGGAUCUGCCUAGUGGUACGGAACAACUCAGGGAAACUUGAGCUAAUACCGUAUAAGUCCUUCGGGAGAAAGAUUUAUCGCCAUUAGAUGAACCCGCGUCUGAUUAGCUAGUUGGUGAGGUAACGGCUCACCAAGGCGACGAUCAGUAGCUGGUCUGAGAGGAUGAUCAGCCACACUGGGACUGAGACACGGCCCAGACUCCUACGGGAGGCAGCAGUGGGGAAUAUUGGACAAUGGGCGCAAGCCUGAUCCAGCCAUGCCGCGUGAGUGAUGAAGGCCUUAGGGUUGUAAAGCUCUUUCGUCAGGGAAGAUAAUGACGGUACCUGAAGAAGAAGCCCCGGCUAACUUCGUGCCAGCCGCCGCCGUAACAC